GUCUACAGCCAUGCCACCCUGAACGUGCCCGAUCUCAUCAGAUCUUGGAAGCUAAGCAGGGUCGAGCCUGGUUAGUACUUGAAUGGGAGACCACCUAGGAAGACCAGAUGCUGUAGGUG
rnacentral:rRNA from 1 species